rnacentral:tRNA from 1 species
GGAUUCUUAGCUGAGAUGGUUACAGCAUUCGGCUCAUAACCGAAAGUUCCUGGGUUCGAGUCCCAGAGAAUCCA